rnacentral:rRNA from 1 species
GGGGAAUCUUAGACAAUGGGGGAAACCCUGAUCUAGCCAUGCCGCGUGAUCGAUGAAGGCCUUAGGGUUGUAAAGAUCUUUCAGUGGGGAAGAUAAUGACUGUACCCACAGAAGAAGCCCCGGCUAACUCCGUGCCAGCAGCCGCGGUAAUACGGAGGGGGCUAGCGUUGUUCGGAAUUACUGGGCGUAAAGCGCACGUAGGCGGACCGGAAAGUCAGAGGUGAAAUCCCAGGGCUCAACCUUGGAACUGCCUUUGAAACUCCCGGUCUUGAGUUCGAGAGAGGUGAGUGGAAUUCCGAGUGUAGAGGUGAAAUUCGUAGAUAUUCGGAGGAACACCAGUGGCGAAGGCGGCUCACUGGCUCGAUACUGACGCUGAGGUGCGAAAGCGUGGGGAGCAAAC